rnacentral:rRNA from 1 species
UGGGGAAUUUUGGACAAUGGGCGAAAGCCUGAUCCAGCAAUGCCGCGUGUGUGAAGAAGGCCUUCGGGUUGUAAAGCACUUUUGUCCGGAAAGAAAUCCUUGGCUCUAAUACAGUCGGGGGAUGACGGUACCGGAAGAAUAAGCACCGGCUAACUACGUGCCAGCAGCCGCGGUAAUACGUAGGGUGCAAGCGUUAAUCGGAAUUACUGGGCGUAAAGCUGCGCAGGCGGUUUGCUAAGACCGAUGUGAAAUCCCCGGGCUCAACCUGGGAACUGCAUUGGUGACUGGCAGGCUAGAGUAUGGCAGAGGGGGGUAGAAUUCCACGUGUAGCAGUGAAAUGCGUAGAGAUGUGGAGGAAUACCGAUGGCGAAGGCAGCCCCCUGGGCCAAUACUGACGCUCAUGCACGAAAGCGUGGGGAGCAAACAGGAUUAGAUACCCUGGUAGUCCACGCCCUAAACGAUGUCAACUAGUUGUUGGGGAUUCAUUUCCUUAGUAACGUAGCUAACGCGUGAAGUUGACCGCCUGGGGAGUACGGUCGCAAGAUUAAAACUCAAAUGAAUUGACGGGGUCAUAGCUG